GCUGGGCAUGGCGGCACGUGCCUGUAAUCCCAGCUACUGGGAGGCUGGGGCAGGAGAAUCGCUUGAACCCGGGAGGUGGAGGUUGCAGUGAGCUGAGAUCACGCCACUGUAAUCCAGCCUGGGUGACAGGGAGAGACUCUGUCUCAU
rnacentral:SRP_RNA from 2 species